GUUUCAGCAGCCGCGGUAAUACGGGGGGGGCAAGCGUUGUUCGGAAUUACUGGGCGUAAAGGGUUCGUAGGUGGCCUACUAAGUCAGACGUGAAAUCCCUCAGCUUAACUGGGGAACUGCGUCUGAUACUGGGGGGCUUGAGUGCAGGAGAGGAACGCGGAAUUCCAGGUGUAGCGGUGAAAUGCGUAGAUAUCUGGAGGAACACCGGUGGCGAAGGCGGCGUUCUGGACUGCAACUGACACUGAUGAACGAAAGCCAGGGGAGCAAACGGGAUUAGAUACCCGCGUAGUCC
rnacentral:rRNA from 1 species